rnacentral:rRNA from 1 species
UGGGGGAUAUUGCACAAUGGGCGGAAGCCUGAUGCAGCAACGCCGCGUGAAGGAAGACGGUUUUCGGAUUGUAAACUUCUGUUCUUAGUGAAGAAAAAAAUGACGGUAGCUAAGGAGCAAGCCACGGCUAACUUCGUGCCAGCAGCCGCGGUAAUACGAAGGGGGCAAGCGUUGUUCGGAAUUACUGGGCGUAAAGCGCACGCAGGCGGCGUGACGCGUCAGAAGUGAAAUCCCCGGGCUCAACCUGGGAACUGCUUCUGAAACGGUCGUGCUUGAAUCAUGGAGAGGGUAGCGGAAUUCGUGGUGUAGCGGUGAAAUGCUUAGAUAUCACGAAGAACUCCAGUUGCGAAGGCAGCUCACUAGACUGCAACUGACACUGAGGCUCGAAAGUGUGGGUAUCAAACA